rnacentral:rRNA from 1 species
GAUGAACGCUAGCUACAGGCUUAACACAUGCAAGUCGAGGGGCAGCAUGAACUUAGCUUGCUAAGUUUGAUGGCGACCGGCGCACGGGUGAGUAACGCGUAUCCAACCUGCCCUUGUCCACCGGAUAACCCGUCGAAAGGCGGACUAACACGGUAUGCAGUCCGCAGCAGGCAUCUAACGUGGACGAAAUGUAAAGGAGAAGGAUGGGGAUGCGUCUGAUUAGCUUGUUGGCGGGGUAACGGCCCACCAAGGUGGCGGACAGUAGGGGUUCUGAGAGGAAGGUCCCCCACAGUGGAACUGAGACACGGUCCAAACGCCUACGGGAGGCAGCAGUGAGGAAUAUUGGUCAAUGGACGGAAGUCUGAACCAGCCAAGUAGCGUGCAGGAUGACGGCCCUAUGGGUUGUAAACUGCUUUUAUAUGGGGAUAAAGUGAGCCACGUGUGGCUUAUUGCAGGUACCAUAUGAAUAAGGACCGGCUAAUUCCGUGCCAGCCGCCGCAGUAA